rnacentral:ncRNA from 1 species
UAUAUUUGCCCCCUUAUUACGAUAUCCGUAAUUCAACGCAUAAAAAUUAUUUAAAUAAUAUUGGAAUG